rnacentral:rRNA from 1 species
GUAAGCUACUAAGAGCGAAUGGUGGAUGCCUUGACUGGUAAAGGCGAUGAAGGACGUACUAGACUGCGAUAAGCUACGGGGAGUUGUCAAGAAACUUUGAUCCGUAGAUUUCCGAAUGGGGCAACCCAAUGUAUAGAGAUAUACAUUACCUAUAUAGGAGCGAACGAGGGGAAUUGAAACAUCUUAGUACCCUUAGGAAAAGAAAUCAAUAGAGAUUGCGUCAGUAGCGGCGAGCGAAAGCGCAAGAGGGCAAACCCAGUGCUUGCACUGGGGGUUGUAGGACUGCAAUGUGCAAGAGGUGAGUUUAGCAAAACAUUCUGGAAAGUAUAGCCAUAGAGGGUGAUAGUCCCGUAUGCGAAAAACAAACCUUAGCUAGCAGUAUCCUGAGUAGGGCGGGACACGAGAAAUCCUGUCUGAAGCUGGGUCGACCACGAUCCAACCCUAAAUACUAAUACCAGAUCGAUAGCGUACAAGUACCGUGAGGGAAAGGUGAAAAGAACUGAGGUGAUCAGAGUGAAAUAGAACCUAAAACCAUUUGCUUACAAUCAUUCAGAGCACUAUGUAGCAAUACAGUGUGAUGGACUGCCUUUUGCAUAAUGAGCCUGCGAGUUGUGGUGUCUGGCAAGGUUAAGCAAACGCGAAGCCGUAGCGAAAGCGAGUCUGAAUAGGGCGCUUAGUCAGAUGCUGCAGACCCGAAACGAAGUGAUCUAUCCAUGAGCAAGUUGAAGCUAGUGUAAGAACUAGUGGAGGACUGAACCCAUAGGCGUUGAAAAGCCCCGGGAUGACUUGUGGAUAGGGGUGAAAGGCCAAUCAAACUUCGUGAUAGCUGGUUCUCUCCGAAAUAUAUUUAGGUAUAGCGUUGUGUCGUAGUAUAAGGGGGUAGAGCACUGAAUGGGCUAGGGCAUACACCAAUGUACCAAACCCUAUCAAACUCCAAAUACCUUAUAUGUAAUCACAGCAGUCAGGCGGCGAGUGAUAAAAUCCGUCGUCAAGAGGGAAACAACCCAGACUACCAGCUAAGGUCCCCAAAUCUUACUUAAGUGGAAAACGAUGUGAACUUACUUAAACAACCAGGAGGUUGGCUUAGAAGCAGCCAUCCUUUAAAGAAAGCGUAAUAGCUCACUGGUCUAGUGAUUUCGCGCGGAAAAUAUAACGGGGCUAAAGUAAGUACCGAAGCUGUAGACUUGCACACAACUUAGAUUAUUUAAGUUUAAAAUAUAAAACAAGGUAAGUUAUAUUUUUACUGAUUUUUAUAGAAUUAAAAACAGAAAUAAAAUUUAAGUCAUAAUAUACUUAAAGCUAAGUAGUUUAAGUUGUGUGCAAGUGGUAGGAGAGCGUUCUAUUUGCGUUGAAGGUAUACCGGUAAGGAGUGCUCGAGCGAAUAGAAGUGAGCAUGCAGGCAUGAGUAGCGAUAAUUAAUGUGAGAAUCAUUAACGCCGUAAACCCAAGGUUUCCUACGCGAUGCUCGUCAUCGUAGGGUUAGUCGGGUCCUAAGUCGAGUCCGAAAGGGGUAGACGAUGGCAAAUUGGUUAAUAUUCCAAUACCAACAUUAGUGUGCGAUGGAAGGACGCUUAGGGCUGUGGAAGAACUCUCUUUAAGGAACUCUGCAAAAUAGCACCGUAUCUUCGGUAUAAGGUGUGGUUCGCUUCGUAUUAGGAUUUACUCCAAAAGCGAAGAAACUUACAACAAAGAGUCCCUCCCGACUGUUUACCAAAAACACAGCACUCUGCUAACUCGUAAGAGGAUGUAUAGGGUGUGACGCCUGCCCGGUGCUCGAAGGUUAAUUGAUGGGGUUAGCAUUAGCAAAGCUCUUGAUCGAAGCCCGAGUAAACGGCGGCCGUAACUAUAACGGUCCUAAGGUAGCGAAAUUCCUUGUCGGUUAAAUACCGACCUGCAUGAAUGGCGUAACGAGAUGGGAGCUGUCUCAAAGAGGGAUCCAGUGAAAUUGUAGUGGAGGUGAAAAUUCCUCCUAUCCGCGGCAAGACGGAAAGACCCCGUGGACCUUUACUACAGCUUGACACUGCUAUUUGGAUAAGAAUGUGCAGGAUAGGUGGGAGGCUUUGAGUAUAUGACGCUAGUUAUAUAGGAGCCAUUGUUGAGAUACCACUCUUUCUUAUUUGGGUAGCUAACCAGCUUGAGUUAUCCUCAAGUGGGACAAUGUCUGGUGGGUAGUUUGACUGGGGCGGUCGCCUCCCAAAUAAUAACGGAGGCUUACAAAGGUUGGCUCAGAACGGUUGGAAAUCGUUCGUAGAGUAUAAAGGUAUAAGCCAGCUUAACUGCAAGACAUACAAGUCAAGCAGAGACGAAAGUCGGUCUUAGUGAUCCGGUGGUUCUGUGUGGAAGGGCCAUCGCUCAAAGGAUAAAAGGUACCCCGGGGAUAACAGGCUGAUCUCCCCCAAGAGCUCACAUCGACGGGGAGGUUUGGCACCUCGAUGUCGGCUCAUCGCAUCCUGGGGCUGGAGCAGGUCCCAAGGGUAUGGCUGUUCGCCAUUUAAAGCGGUACGCGAGCUGGGUUCAGAACGUCGUGAGACAGUUCGGUCCCUAUCUGCCGUGGGCGUAAGAAGAUUGAAGAGAUUUGACCCUAGUACGAGAGGACCGGGUUGAACAAACCACUGGUGUAGCUGUUGUUCUGCCAAGAGCAUCGCAGCGUAGCUAAGUUUGGAAAGGAUAAACGCUGAAAGCAUCUAAGCGUGAAGCUCACUCUAAGAUGAAUCUUCUCUAAGCUCUCUAGAAGACUACUAGUUUGAUAGGCUGGAUGUGUAAUGGAUGAAAGUCCUUUAGCUGACCAGUACUAAUAGAGCGUUUGGCUUAUCUUUAUAAAGCAU